AGAGGAGGAGACAAGGAAGUAAAUCAAUGAUCAGAUUCAGUUAUUUUUGAUUAACUGACAAGAAUGACUCUGACUUUCUGGAAAUUACAAAUGCAGCAAAGAGAAGCUUCUGAUUCUAUACUGAUUGAGUGGCUUCGAACUCGACAUUCCUGCCUCAGCAACAGAGGAUAAAAAUCGUGAUGUGAUGGAUAUAGCACACAAGUGAGAAAUAUAAAUAUGGACUACAGGCUUCUAAAGAAUAAUUGAGCUUGCUGAGGAUCUGUGCCAGAUAUUGGAAAUGUCUAAGAUGUCAAGAGGUGAGUUCUUUGGUGUUUAUUGUUGUUGAGGUGACUUGUGUGUGUAUGUGUGUUUUGGAAAGAAUAGAGUAUAAUGAGAAGAUCAUCACAAUCUGUGUAAUAUGAAAAGCUGAGGCUACUGUUAUAAAUUAAGCUUUUUUUCAGAAAUGUUGUGUUAUCAAAACAGGAAUGAAAUUCUGAACAAUACACCUAAUAAGAUUAUCU
rnacentral:lncRNA from 1 species